rnacentral:rRNA from 1 species
GACGAACGCUGGCGGCGUGCCUAAUACAUGCAAGUAGAACGCUGAAGAGAGGAGCUUGCUCUUCUUGGAUGAGUUGCGAACGGGUGAGUAACGCGUAGGUAACCUGCCUUGUAGCGGGGGAUAACUAUUGGAAACGAUAGCUAAUACCGCAUAACAAUGGAUGACACAUGUCAUUUAUUUGAAAGGGGCAAUUGCUCCACUACAAGAUGGACCUGCGUUGUAUUAGCUAGUAGGCGAGGUAACGGCUCACCUAGGCGACGAUACAUAGCCGACCUGAGAGGGUGAUCGGCCACACUGGGACUGAGACACGGCCCAGACUCCUACGGGAGGCAGCAGUAGGGAAUCUUCGGCAAUGGGGGCAACCCUGACCGAGCAACGCCGCGUGAGUGAAGAAGGUUUUCGGAUCGUAAAGCUCUGUUGUAAGUCAAGAACGAGUGUGAGAGUGGAAAGUUCACACUGUGACGGUAGCUUACCAGAAAGGGACGGCUAACUACGUGCCAGCAGCCGCGGUAAUACGUAGGUCCCGAGCGUUGUCCGGAUUUAUUGGGCGUAAAGCGAGCGCAGGCGGUUUGAUAAGUCUGAAGUUAAAGGCUGUGGCUCAACCAUAGUUCGCUUUGGAAACUGUCAAACUUGAGUGCAGAAGGGGAGAGUGGAAUUCCAUGUGUAGCGGUGAAAUGCGUAGAUAUAUGGAGGAACACCGGUGGCGAAAGCGGCUCUCUGGUCUGUAACUGACGCUGAGGCUCGAAAGCGUGGGGAGCGAACAGGAUUAGAUACCCUGGUAGUCCACGCCGUAAACGAUGAGUGCUAGGUGUUGGAUCCUUUCCGGGAUUCAGUGCCGCAGCUAACGCAUUAAGCACUCCGCCUGGGGAGUACGACCGCAAGGUUGAAACUCAAAGGAAUUGACGGGGGCCCGCACAAGCGGUGGAGCAUGUGGUUUAAUUCGAAGCAACGCGAAGAACCUUACCAGGUCUUGACAUCCCGAUGCUAUUUCUAGAGAUAGAAAGUUACUUCGGUACAUCGGUGACAGGUGGUGCAUGGUUGUCGUCAGCUCGUGUCGUGAGAUGUUGGGUUAAGUCCCGCAACGAGCGCAACCCCUAUUGUUAGUUGCCAUCAUUCAGUUGGGCACUCUAGCGAGACUGCCGGUAAUAAACCGGAGGAAGGUGGGGAUGACGUCAAAUCAUCAUGCCCCUUAUGACCUGGGCUACACACGUGCUACAAUGGUUGGUACGACGAGUUGCGAGUCGGUGACGGCAAGCUAAUCUCUUAAAGCCAAUCUCAGUUCGGAUUGUAGGCUGCAACUCGCCUACAUGAAGUCGGAAUCGCUAGUAAUCGCGGAUCAGCACGCCGCGGUGAAUACGUUCCCGGGCCU